AGAGUUUGAUCCUGGCUCAGGACGAACGCUGGCGGCGUGCCUAACACAUGCAAGUCGAACGAAGUAUGUUUUUCGGAAUGUACUUAGUGGCGGACGGGUAAGUAACGCGUGAAUAAUCUGCCCCAUACAGGGGGAUAGCCUCGGGAAACCGGGAUUAAAACCGCAUGAUGCUUUUUUAUCGCAUGGUAGAGAAGUCAAAUCGAAUAAGAGGUAUGGGAUGAGUUCGCGUCUGAUUAGCUGGUUGGCGGGGUAAGAGCCCACCAAGGCGACGAUCAGUAGCCGGCCUGAGAGGGUGACCGGCCACACUGGAACUGAGACACGGUCCAGACUCCUACGGGAGGCAGCAGUGGGGAAUAUUGCACAAUGGAGGGAACUCUGAUGCAGCGACGCCGCGUGAGUGAAGAAGGUCUUCGGAUCGUAAAACUCUGUCCUUGGUGACGAAAAAAAUGACGGUAGCCAAGGAGGAAGCCCCGGCUAACUACGUGCCAGCAGCCGCGGUAAUACGUAGGGGGCGAGCGUUGUCCGGAUUUACUGGGCGUAAAGGGUGAGUAGGCGGUUAUAUAUGUCAGGUGUAAAAAGCUAUGGCUUAACCAUAGUAAGCACUUGAAACUGUAUGACUUGAGUGCAGGAGAGGUAAGCGGAAUUCCUAGUGUAGCGGUGAAAUGCGUAGAUAUUAGGAGGAACACCGGUGGCGAAGGCGGCUUACUGGACUGUAACUGACGCUGAGUCACGAAAGCGUGGGUAGCAAACAGGAUUAGAUACCCUGGUAGUCCACGCCGUAAACGAUGAGUGCUAGGUGUUGGGCAGCAAUGCUCAGUGCCGAAGUAAACACAAUAAGCACUCCGCCUGGGGAGUACGUACGCAAGUAUGAAACUCAAAGGAAUUGACGG
rnacentral:rRNA from 1 species